CACAAUCUCAGCUCACUGCAAGCUCCGCCUCCUGGGUUCACGCCAUUCUCCUGCCUCAGCCUCCUGAUUAACUGGGACUGCAGAAGCCCACCACCACACCCGGCUAAUCUUUUGUGUUUUUAGUAGAGACGGGGUUUCAUCCUGUUAGCCAGGAUGGUCUCGAUCUCCUGACCUCGUGAUCUGCCCGCCUCCGCAUCCCAAAGUGCUGGGAUUGCAGGCUUGAGCCACCGCACCUGGCCACAUUCAAGAUACUUUUCUCUUGUCUCCUGGCUUCUAAUGUUGCAGUGAAGAAGUCAGCUACAAAUCUAAUUGCCGUUUCUUUAUGGCUCACAGCUGUAAGAAACUUGGCCUUGAGUCUCAGAUGAGACUUUGGACUUCAGACUUUGGGUUGAUGCUGGAACAAGUUGACUUUUGGGGACUAUCAAGAUGGAAUGAUUGUAUUUUGCAAUGAGAGAAGAGUAUGAGUUUUGGGAGGGCCAGGGGUGAAAUGCUAUGGUUUGAGGCUUCCAAAUCUCAUGUUGAAAUUUGAUCUCCAGUGUUGGAGGUGGGGCCUAAUAGGGUGUGUUUGGGUCAUGGGGGCAGAUAUCUCUGAAUGGCUUGGUGCAGUCCUUGUGGUAAUGAGUUGAGUUCUUGCUCUAUCAGUUCCCAUGGGAGCCUAUUGUUAAAAAGUCCAUCACUUCCCUCUCUUUCUCUCUCACCAUGUGAUCUCUGCACACAUGCCAGCUCCCCUUCUCUUUCCACCAUGAGUGGAACCAGCCUGAGGUCCUCACCAGAAGCUGAUGCUGGUGCCAUGCUUCUUGUACAGCCUGCAGAACCGUAGGCCAAAUAAACCUCUUUUCUUAUAAAUUACCAGCCUCAGAUAUUCCUUUAUAGCAACACAAAUGGACUAAGACAAAUAUGUAUAUUUGUAUAACAUGAGUUCAUAAUUUACUUGUGAUUUUUAAUGUUUAAA
rnacentral:lncRNA from 10 species